rnacentral:rRNA from 1 species
UACGAAGGGGGCUAGCGUUGCUCGGAAUCACUGGGCGUAAAGGGUGCGUAGGCGGGUCUUUAAGUCAGGGGUGAAAUCCUGGAGCUCAACUCCAGAACUGCCUUUGAUACUGAGGAUCUUGAGUUCGGGAGAGGUGAGUGGAACUGCGAGUGUAGAGGUGAAAUUCGUAGAUCUACGAAGGAACGCCAAAAGCGAAGGCAGCUCUCUGGGUCCCUACCGACGCUGGGGUGCGAAAGCAUGGGGAGCGAACAGG